AUUGAACGCUGGCGGCAGGCCUAACACAUGCAAGUCGAACGAGUGGCGGACGGGUGAGUAAUGUCUGGGAAACUGCCUGAUGGAGGGGGAUAACUACUGGAAACGGUAGCUAAUACCGCAUACCAUCAGAUGUGCCCAGAUGGGAUUAGCUUGUUGGUGGGGUAACGGCUCACCAAGGCGACGAUCCCUAGCUGGUCUGAGAGGAUGACCAGCCAAACUGGAACGGAGACACGGUCCAGAACCCAACGGGAGGCGCAGGUGGGGAAUAUUGCACAAUGGGCGAAAGCCUACUGCAGCCAUGCCGCGUAUAUGAAGAGGGCCUUCGGUUUGUAAGGUACUUUCAGCGGGGAGGCGUUACCCGAAGAAGAAGGACCGGCUAACUCCGUGCCAGCAGCCGCGGUAAUAC
rnacentral:rRNA from 1 species